rnacentral:rRNA from 1 species
GGGAGCGUCCGGAUUAUGGGCGUAAGCGCGCGCAGGUGGUUUCUUAAGUCUGAUGUGAAAGCCCACGGCUCAACCGUGGAGGGUCAUUGGAAACUGGGAGACUUGAGUGCAGAAGAGGAUAGUGGAAUUCCAAGUGUAGCGGUGAAAUGCGUAGAGAUUUGGAGGAACACCAGUGGCGAAGGCGACUGUCUGGUCUGUAACUGACACUGAGGCGCGAAAGCGUGGGGAGCAAACAGGAUUAGAUACCCUGGUAGUCCACGCCGUAAACGAUGAGUGCUAAGUGUUAGGGGGUUUCCGCCCCUUAGUGCUGCAGCUAACGCAUUAAGCACUCCGCCUGGGGAGUACGACCGCAAGGUUGAAACUCAAAGGAAUUGACGGGGGCCCGCACAAGCGGUGGAGCAUGUGGUUUAAUUCGAAGCAACGCGAAGAACCUUACCAGGUCUUGACAUCCCAGUGACCGCUCUAGAGAUAGAGUUUUCCCUUCGGGGACAUUGGUGACAGGUGGUGCAUGGUUGUCGUCAGCUCGUGUCGUGAGAUGUUGGGUUAAGUCCCGCAACGAGCGCAACCCUUAAUCUUAGUUGCCAUCAUUUAGUUGGGCACUCUAAGGUGACUGCCGGUGACAAACCGGAGGAAGGUGGGGAUGACGUCAAAUCAUCAUGCCCCUUAUGACCUGGGCUACACACGUGCUACAAUGGACGGUACAAAGAGUCGCUAACUCGCGAGAGUACGCUAAUCUCAUAAAACCGUUCUCAGUUCGGAUUGUAGGCUGCAACUCGCCUACAUGAAGCCGGAGGCGGCGUGCCUAAUACAUGCAAGUCGAGCGAAUGAUGAGGAGCUUGCUCCUCUGAUUUAGCGGCGGACGGGUGAGUAACACGUGGGCAACCUGCCCUGUAGACUGGGAUAACUUCGGGAAACCGGAGCUAAUACCGGAUAAUCCAUUUCACCUCAUGGUGAAAUGUUGAAAGACGCCAUCAAGCGUCACUACAGGAUGGGCCCGCGGUGCAUUAGCUAGUUGGUGGGGUAACGGCCUACCAAGGCAACGAUGCAUAGCCGACCUGAGAGGGUGAUCGGCCACAUUGGGACUGAGACACGGCCCAAACUCCUACGGGAGGCAGCAGUAGGGAAUCUUCCACAAUGGACGAAAGUCUGAUGGAGCAACGCCGCGUGAGUGAUGAAGGUUUUCGGAUCGUAAAACUCUGUUGUAAGGGAAGAACAAGUACGUUAGGAAAUGAACGUACCUUGACGGUACCUUAUUAGAAAGCCACGGCUAACUACGUGCCAGCAGCCGCGGUAAUACGUAGGUGGCAAGCGUUGUCCGGAUUUAUUGGGCGUAAAGCGCGCGCAGGUGGUUUCUUAAGUCUGAUGUGAAAGCCCACGGCUCAACCGUGGAGGGUCAUUGGAAACUGGGAGACUUGAGUGCAGAAGAGGAUAGUGGAAUUCCAAGUGUAGCGGUGAAAUGACGUAGAGAUUUGGAGGAACACCAGUGGCGAAGGCGACUGUCUGGUCGUAACGACAUGAGCGAAGAGCUGCCC